UCUCCAGCUGUUUUUGGACUGCAACUCCCAUCAUCCCUAGCUAAGAGGACUAGUGGUCAGGGAUGAUGGAAGCCGUAGUCCAGAAACAGCUGGAGA